rnacentral:ncRNA from 1 species
AUGAUUUGAGGUGGGAAAUGGCUCCCCACACGCAGUUUUGCUGUUAACAGAGAUGCAGGAUACGCCGACCUGCCAAAUUAU